rnacentral:rRNA from 1 species
GGUCAAGCGAAUAAGAGCGCAGGGUGGAUGCCUUGGCACUAAGAGCCGAAGAAAGACGUGAUAAGCUGCGAUAAGCUACGGUGAGGAGCAAAUAUCCAUUGACCCGUAGAUUUCUGAAUGGGGAAACCCGGCAGGAGAAACUCCUGUCACUGUAUGGUGAAUACAUAGCCAUAUAGAGGGAACCCGGGGAACUGAAACAUCUAAGUACCCGGAGGAAGAGAAAACAACAGUGAUUUCCUAAGUAGCGGCGAGCGAACGGGAAAGAGCCCAAACCGGAAUGCGUGCAUUCCGGGGUUCGGACCACAGA